UUUCAUUUAAACUAACAGUUCUAUAACCCGCAGUCCACUAAAAAAAAUUUAUAAAACUGGGAUGCGUUUUCUAUUUUUUUUUUAUCUUGCUUUUGCAGUUAUAUUCUGGGCACACGGUACCACGGUAUAUUACUUUACUAUCGACGCUAACGAACGCCGUUGCUUCUACGAAAAUUUUAAAAAAGACAACACUAUAGUUCUUGUUUACCAGGUUGUCGAAGGUGGCUUUUUAGACAUUAAUGUCAAGUUAAAUUCAGCAAAAGGAGACCUGCUCUAUGAAUCAGGAAAAAAAGCUGAAGAUAGCGCCAUAUUUGCCGUGAACGAAAAUGGAGAAUAUCAACUUUGCUUUGACAAUAAAAUGUCUACAGUAACUUCCAAAAGAGUUUUGUUUCAGUUUGUUUCUGGUGAACAAAAUAUAAAGGACGUAGAUAAUAAAGAUAACACCCUGAGUAAAAUGCUCGAACAGCUUGGCGAUAAACUACGAGAAGUAUGGAACAACAACGCCUUUUUAGCGUCGAGGGGAGAAGCACACGAUAAUAUCAAUCAAAGGACACAUGAUAGAAUACUUUAUUGGAGUGUGAUCGAAAUCUUCUUGGUAUUUGCCAUGUCCCUUUCUCAAGUGUUCUACUUAA